UCGUGAAAACAAAUUUUUAUUGUAGAAAGUUGGAAUUUAUUUCCAAUAAGUGUUAAAGUUAAUAAAAAAUUCUCUGAAGAAGAAUUCUUUUCUCAGAAACAAAGGAAAUUUAAAUAAAAUUGUCUAUAUAAACAAUUUAAGGAUUUUAGAUGUAAAGGAAGAAUUUGUGUAUUUUACCAGAAAUAUUGAUAAAAUUAUUUAAUAAACGGUAAAGGGCUCAAUUUUAUAUUUUAUUACACUAUAAAACUUUGUAUAGUAUGUAUAUAUAUGUAUUGUAAGUGAGUAGUGGCAGGUUUACAUACAAUGUCCAUAGCAACUACAAAUAAUUCCUGAAAAACUAACGAAACAAUCACCUUAUUAGUAAUGAUCAUCAACCAUGUAUAUUUUAGCCAUUGUGAUUUUCUGUAUUUUAUAUGACCAAUUUCUUUAUUUUUUUACCAGCCAAAAAUGUCAAUUUCUUUCUGAAACUCAGUGAAUGCAGAAGGAGAACAAAUUUGAAAUUUGUCCCUUUUUCAAUUUUUCAACAAUAAAUGUUGAUUGUUUUUUGUGACUCAACAGACAUUAAGAAUUACAAUUUAGUUAUGAACUCUUCAUUUUGUUGUUAUUUUCAAUAAAAUUUAAGCAAUAAUACACCAAAACUUGAUGGAAAGGAGAGAACCUUCUUAUAGUCUUGCAAUGUCAUUUUUCAUUUGUAAAGUUCAAAAAUGCAUUUAUUAUAAAUAUAUGUGAAAGAUAAAUCUGUAGUCAAUUGUACUAGCACAAUUUAUGUAUAUAAAUACUGCACUUGUGUUUAUUUACCAUAUUUUCUUUAAAUAGCCAAAUUAUAGAACCAAUACCAUGUAUUUUAUCUUUUAAAAUAAUGUAACAGUUUAUUUGAUUU
rnacentral:lncRNA from 1 species